rnacentral:hammerhead_ribozyme from 1 species
AUCCAACUGACGAGUCCAAAAUAGGGCGAAACGAGCCUGCUGGAU